GCGGAGGAAAAGAAACCAACCGGGAUUGCCUCAGUAACGGCGAGUGAAGCGGCAAGAGCUCAAAUUUGAAAUCUGGCCCCCCCGGGGUCCGAGUUGUAAUUUGCAGAGGAUGCUUCGGGUGCGGUCCCCGUCUAAGUGCCCUGGAACGGGCCGUCAUAGAGGGUGAGAAUCCCGUCUGGGAUGGGCGGCCGCGCCCGUGUGAAGCUCCUUCGACGAGUCGAGUUGUUUGGGAAUGCAGCUCUAAGCGGGUGGUAAAUUUCAUCUAAAGCUAAAUACUGGCCGGAGACCGAUAGCGCACAAGUAGAGUGAUCGAAAGAUGAAAAGCACUUUGAAAAGAGAGUCAAACAGCACGUGAAAUUGUUGAAAGGGAAGCGUUGUCCACCAGACUCGCCCGGGGGGGUUCAGCCGGCACGUGUGCCGGUGUACUCCUCUCCGGGCGGGCCAGCAUCGGUUUGGGCGGCUGGUGAAAGGCCCCGGGAAUGUACCACCCUCCGGGGUGUCUUAUAGCCCGGGGUGCCAUGCGGCCAGCCUGGACCGAGGCCCGCGCUUCGGCGAGGAUGCUGGCGUAAUGGUG
rnacentral:rRNA from 1 species